GCCGCGCCGGAGCCUUUUCCCUUCCAAGGGUCGGUGCCCUCCUCUUUCCUGGCCGGUGAGUUCUUGGCUGUUCAAAUCCUUUAUCGCGAGCGUCUUCGUUGCCAAUGCUUGGCGUGGUGACUCCCUUCCCUAUUUUGUAGAGAGAGAUAUAGGUCAGAAAUGAUCCCCAAUAUGUACAUCCGUUCUAAUCUUUCCUGGCAUAAAUUUCAUUAGCUCCAUGAGUUAGCACGCAAGAUAUCCACGUGAGAUUUGUUUCCGCUGAUACCCAAUUUUGCAUCAGGAAAGCCAACUCAUAGAUUUUGGUCUGGUAGCUAGCAGUUUAUGUCUUGCGUCAGGUUGGACAUUGGACCUCCGGUAAGAUGGCCUACCAAUUAACUCCAUCUAUUUUCUUCUACCAUAUAGCUAGGCAAAAGUUUCUUUGUUAUACAAUCGGAUUACAUGCUGUGCAGAUAAAAGUAUGGUGGACUUACUAAGAGAUGUUCAGUAUAUAUGGACUCCAGUUAUGGUUCUGUUAUUUAUUUAUGCACACCUUACGUUUCAUAAAUUGAUUGAAGGAAUUGUAUGGAGGGUGGCCGCGUGGUGUUCUUCGCGGACACCGGACAGAAUAAGCUAAGCUGUUCAUUGAGCGGGCAUUGUCUCAGUAACAAAGCUUGCAUCACAUAGUGAUACAUGAGAGAAUGUACAUCGUCAACAUGUAAGGGAGAUGGUUAAGGAAAUAGUACUGACUGUAACUGAAGUUGGAAGACUGGACUAUAAUGUUUUCCUUGACGUGAAGACAAUAGAGGGGAUGUAUGAAAUUAGUCCGAGUCUAAUGGAGGCUUUAUCGGUCAUCAAACUCCACUGAAUCGCACGAGAUCUCAGCUGCACCCGCCGCUGCGAGCUUUCUAUAGAAAUUUGCUGGAAGAGGACUCCAAGAUAUUCACAAUGAAUAAAUGAUAUGAGAGGAUGCUGCCACGGCAAAUACUGGUCCCUUACCCCUUAUCCAACAUUUUCAAAGCUGGUAUGUUCGUCCAUUGCUCAUUGCAAGAACGCCCCAUAUUUUGCCAUCAUGUGGUGUUAGUUUUGUUUUGUUUACGGUAGAUCUCUGAAUUUUACGAUGCCACCUGCAAAAUGGUUGAACAGUUUCAUGAAUUCAAUCUUUGUCAACAUAUAUAUGGGAGUAGCAAAUUCAAUCUUUGUCAGUAUAUGCACCAAAUACAUUCAUGCCACCCACAUGAUUUUUUGGCUAAAAGUUUAGAAACUGAUUAUUCAGAUCUAAAAGAAUGCCAUGAGCGUAAUUUUUGGGUAGUGUAUAAGUAUCACCGUGGGUGAAACUACUUUCCAUGUUACCAGGUUCAACCAGUGAGCCGAAGUGUGGUGCUUUUGAGUUUCAGGGGUCCCAAGCCAGCUUGUGCUUCUGAUGAUCCAUACUUCCGGGGCGACGUCGGUAUGCCUUGCAGUUCGCAGUGCUGGGACUGCUAUGCCAACUCCUGGCGUGCAUCCUUAUAUUUCAGAUAUCUUUCUUUCUAGGAUUUGUUGGUACUUUGUCUCAACAUUGAGUUUGAUCCAUGCAGAACAAAUAGGUAGCAAAAAGGUAGUGUAUACUAUAUCCGCACACCAUAAGUUCCGUGUGGUUUAUUUGUAUUUCACAUCUUCUGAAGUUCAUAAAAGUAUUCAUGGUUAGUAGUGGCUUGCUGAAUUGUCUAUCCUAAAGUUAUGCUCAUCGGCUCAUAGUAAGCUGUUCAGUUGUUCGUAUUCAGGUAACUUGCUUAUAUUUUGUUUUUGCUAGGUUGACCAUAACGCCGUUCGGGAUUUAUUUUGCACCGCUGGCGUUUCCAUUGUGACAGUUGGAGAUUAGGUGGUGACGGUGUCUUCAUCUAAAGAUAUGCUGGGCCUACUUUGUGAUCAAAGAGAAGAAAGAUAAAAAGGUAGCACAACACGCACACACCCCAAAAGAUCAAUCUAAUGAUCGAAGCAGACGACACAUUUUAAUUGCUCCAACGAUUUGUCAUCUAGCAUGUUGUGUUCUUCACUUAUUCUAUAGAAACGCCAAAGAUUUCUACAUCCAUACAGUUGACAGUUGGUAUUCUCCAUACAAAACGCUAUUGUCGGUUUUGCCAAGUACAGGUAAGAAUACUCUAGCUCUCUUUGCUUAUUUCGCUUUGUUUCUUUCUGAUAUAAUAUUAUGUUAUUUGACAAGUGUUUUGGUUGCUACCGAAAGAUUCCUACCAUGGUAUGCCAUGAUCAAUUGCUUCUUUACUAAUUUGAUGUUCUUGACAAGAUCAAUUGCUUCUUUACUAAUUUGUUGUUCUUUCCCUGGGACCAUAUAAGUGUCGGAAUUGGUCUUCCCUCUAUUCAGUUCUUACAUUCAACUACUUUUACAUGGUGCACAAUCUAAAUUCUCACAGUGGAUCUACUAUUUAUACUCAGGACAAGCAUGAUGUAUGCUCCGCAAAAUCUGCAGCCUUGGGCGUGUCUUUACUGCACAUAUGCGACUGAAACCCUUUCUCAGUUUCAGAGCUUGGCAGCUGACACAGUGAUAUAAUCUAUUUGAGACAAACUUGCUAAUAUCUGCCAAAUCAACUGUAGAGUACGACUAAUUUUGGCAAUCACAGGCAUCAUCACUCUGAAUUUUCAGGUUUACCCCUGCACAGUACCUACUUCAACUGCAUAAUCUAUCUGAAAAAUGUAAAAUGUACAGUUAUCACAAAACAAAGUACUCAGCUAGCAUUAACAGGCUAGCCUUGCUGUUACAGUUAAGAGUUAGAUGGCAUUAGGCAUGUCUGAAUGGCCAGCAAUCCUAUAAUAUGUAUA